rnacentral:pre_miRNA from 1 species
AGGAGGAACAACCACAGUGGUGGGGGCCAGCUCUGGAGCCCUGGAUUCAGCUCCCGCAGUAAAUACCGCAGUUCUCAGUCUAUAGGGGCCUGGAUGCUCCGGGGGUGG